rnacentral:rRNA from 1 species
AACGAACGCUGGCGGCGUGCCUAACACAUGCAAGUCGAGCGCGAAAGGAGCAAUCCGAGUAGAGCGGCGCACGGGUGCGUAACACGUGGAUAAUCUGCCUCAGGGUUGAGGAUAACCUUCCGAAAGGUUGGCUAAUACUCGGUAAGCUUACGGUGACUUCGGUCGCUGUGAGAAAACUAGACCUCUAUUUAUAAGUUUAGGCCCAGAGAUGAGUCCGCGGCCCAUCAGCUAGUUGGCGGGGUAACGGCCCACCAAGGCUACGACGGGUAGCUGGGCUGAGAGGACGAUCAGACACACUGGAACUGAGACACGGUCCAGACUCCUACGGGAGGCAGCAGUGGGGAAUUUUCCACAAUGGGCGAAAGCCUGAUGGAGCAACGCCGCGUGUGUGAUGAAGGUCUUCGGAUCGUAAAGCACUUUCGACUGGGACGAAAAACCUUUGGCUAACAUCCAGGGGCCUGACGGUACCAGGAGAAGAAGCACCGGCUAACUCUGUGCCAGCAGCCGCGGUAACAC